rnacentral:tmRNA from 1 species
GGGGAUGCUGUGGUUUCGACGGGGAGAAGAUGUCGUGCGGUUGCGCUGUCGCGCUUGCUCAUUGGGCGCGUUAUCCCACAAUGAGCGAACUGUAAGUGCGGACUCAUACGAGUACCGUCUCGCUGCGUAAUUAACCCAGCGUGCAUCCGCCCGGAACUUGUCUGUCGGUUUCGGAAGCGGGUGUCGAUUUUGACAGACUGGCUUGCAUAACGAGUGGAGGUUAUGUGAGCGAGACCUUAUCCACUGGCUUGCUUGAAGCCCCGUCAAUCGGGAUGACGGUGAGUGAGAUUCAAAUAGAUUGACUAUGCAGCGUAGAGGCCUCACGAGUCACUCUUCGGACGCGGGUUCGACUCCCGCCAUCUCCACAA